AUGAAGGCCUUCGGGUCGUAAAGCACUUUCGCCUGUGAAGAUAAUGACUGUAGCAGGUAAAGAAACCCCGGCUAACUCCGUGCCAGCAGCCGCGGUAAUACGGAGGGGGUUAGCGUUGUUCGGAAUUACUGGGCGUAAAGCGCGCGUAGGCGGGCUGGAAAGUUGGGGGUGAAAUCCCGGGGCUCAACCCCGGAACUGCCUCCAAAACUCCCAGCCUAGAGGUCGAGAGAGGUGAGUGGAAUUCCGAGUGUAGAGGUGAAAUUCGUAGAUAUUCGGAGGAACACCAGUGGCGAAGGCGGCUCACUGGAUCGAUACUGACGCUGAGGUGCGAAAGUGUGGGGAGCAAACAGGAUUAGAUACCCUGGUAGUCCACACCGUAAACGAUGAAUG
rnacentral:rRNA from 2 species